AGGUUAAGUAAGGGCAUGGUCCUCAGCUGUCCUCAUCUCAGAUGCCUGCCACAGGAUGUGGACUUGCCAGUUGAUGGGGCUCUCCUCCAACCACUUAAGAAGAAAUCUACCUAACACCCACCGGGCAGGCACAAAUUGAUGGCUAUGGUCAUGCAUCAGGCUGGUGCAUAUCUGCCAGAUUGAGAAAACAAGAUGUGACAAGAAUCUUCUGAAAUGUAGUCCCAUGGGCAAAAGAAAGAUUUAGAAGCUUGUUAAAAAACACAUUACCAUCUGGAAAGACACAGAGAGAGAGAGAGAGGCAGAGACGCGGUGGGAGAAGCAGG